rnacentral:rRNA from 1 species
CAAGUGCCAUUCUUAACGGGAUGGCUUUUCAUUAGUGUAAAAAGCUUUUGGAAUAAGAGCUGGGCAAGACCGGUGCCAGCCGCCGCGGUAACACCGGCAGCUCUAGUGGUAGCAACUUUUAUUGGGCCUAAAGCGUCCGUAGCCGGUUUAAUAAGUCUCUGGUGAAAUCCUGUAGCUUAACUGUGGGAAUUGCUGGAGAUACUAUUAGACUUGAGACCGGGAGAGGUUGGAGGUACUCCCAGGGUAGAGGUGAAAUUCUGUAAUCCUGGGAGGACCGCCUGUUGCGAAGGCGUCUAACUGGAACGGUUCUGACGGUGAGGGACGAAAGUUAGGGGCGCGAACCGGAUUAGAUACCCGGGUAGUCCUAACUGUAAACGAUGCGGACUUGGUGUUGGGGUGGCUUUGAGCUGCUCCAGUGCCGAAGGGAAGCUGUUAAGUCCGCCGCCUGGGAAGUACGGUCGCAAGACUGAAACUUAA